UAAUAAAUAGACAUCAUUUAAUUAAAAAAUAGAAAAAUAUAGAUAUCACUAUGGUUUCCUGGAGGAUCGUGGUAAAGGUGGCGUCAUUGUAUGUAUUAUUUGCAGCAGUCAUAUUAUGGAGAUAUGCAAGAUCUUCCUCAGAGAUUGAAGCAAUGGCCUAUUGAGAAAUUCGAGGAAUCUAGGAAGUAAGAAUGGUCGACAACCUAAGAAAAUGAAUAGAUGACCCGACAGAAGCACCCUAGACAAUCGAGCCCCUUCGACCAAAUCCCCUUCUUAAGGACUUUGGUGUUGACCCUUGUUCCUCUUGUUAUUAGCACGAGGAGAUGAACCUAAUUCUUCGACACCUAACAAUAACCCUAACAGAAAUCUGGUUCCGACCAGAGAAGAUCGAAGGGAUUUCAUAAGGAGUAGAUAUGCUUGGACCAACUGGAGAAGGAGUAGAGGCCAGAGCAGAAGAAAUGGUGAUGACGACUUUAGCCUCCAGUUCUUUAGCAAUAUCAAAAACCUUCUUCAGGUGGUUCUUAAUUGUAAAUACCAAAACAUCUCACGUUAAAAAAAUUGGGGCCUAUGAGAGAAUAACUAUCUUUCCAGACAACUGACUGCUCUCACAAUAGCAUGAAUGUCAAUUGACCGCUUCCUAUAAAUCGAGGAUUUUACCUCGGAAGGACCAAACCCUUUUUUUGUAACUGAGACCCUCAUAGAUAGCGCCAAGAUCUUUCUUCAUCUAAAUCGCUUCGAGUGUAAGAGAACCCAAGAGGACGACAUACCCGUGAGGCUCACGUUUAAAGUGAACCCAAGCCCAAUAUUUUCAAAACUAUCUGUAUAGGUACUCGAGGGUAAAACUUGAAAACCUACGAGGAGAAGAAGCUCAUUAGAAACUUGGUAGAAGGAAGAGUUAGCUCCCAUAGUGCAGAGUUUUACCAACAUGAAAUGAUCUCUAAACUCGUCCUAGUUUUUUGCCCAAGUGUUAAAUUGGGGAACUUCCUGGCGCAGUGAAAUGAGCCCUUAAUCCUGAAUAUUAUUUUUUGAUGUAUGCAUCACGAAAAAAUGAUGGAAGAAUAACUGGUAGGAAGGCUCCAAAAAUGGUAGUUAACCUAGAGUAGGAAUGCUCUUAUCAAAGCCCAAAUGCUUGGAUGAAGGUGCAAGGGGUAAUCUUUCAAGAACUUUAACACCUCCACUUCAAACUCAGGCAAAGGUAACUGCAAAUUUAUCCAAGUAAACAGGCACUCAUCGAAAGGAACAGAGUACUCCUCGAAGCUGCUACAUAUUUUUUUGUCUGAUUCCACGUGAAGAAUCAACCAAUUAGAUGGAUGGCCUACUUCUAUAUUAACCCCUUUCACAACUACAAGACCAUCUAACGAAGGGGGCGCUCCUAGUAUUUCAUAAUUCAUCCAGUUAAACUUGCUCACACCAAUCGGCUACACAAGACCGAUACUCCUAAGAGGUAUCUCGUCAAGCCGAAAGAUAUUUGAUGAUCUGAGCCAGUCACACCAGCAGGUUGGGUCCGACACACUAGAUGAUCCCAAAUCUCGGCAUCACUUGGGUUUUAACCAAAGAUGGAAUGGUAAGUUUCGAUGAAAUUUUGAGUAUUUUCCUUGUUCAGGACAUCAAUUCCACCUUCGGUGAAGUCGAAGAAGGGAAAACGUAAAGUUAAGAAUCAAUAGUCAAAUUUCACCUUAAAACAUAAGCAAACUCAAGCACUCGAACACCCUAGAAAAGAGCGCAACACCCUAACCUACGAGCCUAAGACCAAAUGUCUGAAAAAUUGAUGAAACGUCUCAAUAAUAGAAAAUGCAUUUAAUGCGCUAACCUUAUACUACUUUUACAACUGUCCCACGACCUUCCCACUUCUCCCUGUAGUCGACUUUGGUAACCAAAUGCUACUUGCAACUUAAAACAAAUUCUCAACUGACAAAACACCCAAUAAACUUUUGGGACAAUUAUUUUUUACUAGCCAAAGGCCCAAUACAGAUGAAAUCCAAAUAUCCAACCCAAACAUGCAAAGUCAAAUAAAAAAUUAUUCAACGUAUAUAACCAACACAUGUGAGACUUAAGGUACACUUUUUAUCUCAUAAUUUAACUUCAUUCAUCUUGAACUCUUGUAAAUGACUUUAGCAUUGAAAUGUUUAUCUUGCAGGUUCAUCCUCGCAGCACUGUAUCGAAGAUUAACAUCAUCACAUUUGAAGUUUGUCGUCAUCAAUAAAAAACGAAUCUGAUUCUAAUAAGGAACAAAAAGCAAUUUUUAUUUUUCUAUGUUCUAUAUGAAUAUUAAAAAAAAAAAAGAAGAAAAAAGAUAAAUUUCAUAAAAGGUAAAUACUUAAAAAUAAUGUGUGACUCUUACAUCUAUUAUUAAUAUAUAAAAGCAAAAGCACCUGGAAAUUCCACUUAAAGCCCUCUGAUAAAUGUACUAAAACUUUUCUUAUUCCAUGGGUAGAAAUGACUUUUUGCAAAAUAACUCAAUAUUAUUGAUCUAGCAUUUAUUACUGCUGAUGUGUCACUCCCUUAAUUUUUGUUAGUAUUUUAUAUUUAUUUUUAUUUUUAUUUUUUAUUAUUGUUAUUUAUUUAUUUACACAAAUUACGAAACCCUAAUAGCUACUAUUAAAUGGAUAGAGUUAUUCCAUAAUUUGGAAUGAUGAGUUUUACGUUUUUGAAAACCCAAAGUCCUCCACUAACAAAAAAAAUACAAUUACUCCUGCCCUUCCAUGUUCCUAUAUGUUGGGUUAUAUAAUUACCGAAUCAAUGGAAUUCACUCUUCAAUUUAUCUUUUUCAGGUUUUCAAAUUCUUCUCCAUAUCUGUUUUGCUGCAACCUUUUAAGCAUUGUCAUGGCUCGCCCAAUAAGUGAGUCAAACGUGGUUUUUCCGGCCCACAUACAUCUUGAAAACACCACAAGAGACUUAUCUUCCACCGAUGAACUCACUGUUGCCCUUUCAGGCCGACAGACAACGCAUCAACACCUCGCCGCUCUAUUCCAAUUUCAGAGACACUAUUGAUGCAACAUUGUUUUCACUUUGCUUUGAAAAAGGAAAUACCUUCCUUCGGCUAAUUUGGAUUGAUGUACGCCUUCUCAUUCAUUUCUAUUUGUCUUCUCUUUCAAUGUUCAUAUUUUCUUUCUUUUUUUUUUUCUCCAAAUUUUCUUUCUUUCUUUAAUCUCUAUUUUCAUGUUUUCUCUUCCAAAAACUUUUGUAUAUGCAUAACAUCUGUUUUAUAAAAUGUUGCAGAGGAUAAAUUGCAUACUACUUAGCUACCAAGUGGAAAGUUCUGCUUAACAUUGUAGGACUUUGAUUUUUGUUUGUUUGUUUUUUUAUAGUAUGGAACAAUGGCUCUUAGACAAUUGUAGCAUGAUUUUCACUGUGAAAUUGAUUGUUAUGAUACAUAUGAUAUUCUUAUUAAUUUUGAACAACAAUGGAUAAAAGCAACUAAGUGGAAAGGGUUUGCAUUUCUUUUAAAAAAAACUUCUCAGUGGAAUGACCAUGCUUUAAUAAGAGUAGAAUGCAUCUCAUGGAUAUUAAGUCCUUCUCAUUGUACCUCAAAGGAUGAUUAUACAAAUGUUGCAGGGGAAGAUCCGUUAGUAUGUGUUUCUAAAGAAGAUAAUCCUGAAAAAUGGCAUAUUCAGGUUGGAAAAAAGCAAAUCUUGGUUUUGAGUAAAUAUUACUUGCAUGUUAUUCUUUAUGGGUUUUUGAUUAGUUAGAGGUAGGACUUAUAUAAUUGGUUUGGUUUUUGUUUGUUGUUCAUGAUAUGAUGAUUUAAUUUAAUUGUUUUAUUAGAUUUUAUUUGUUUAUUUGGUUUUGAAUUUGUUGUUGUUAACGCUCCUUCUCAAUCGGAUGAAUCACGACUAUACCGACGAUUCCUCCCCAUUCUAUUGCACGGGUUGUGCCUCACGGAGACUUUGGAUGAGAUGGUUGAGAAUGGAACUCUUAAUCCCGAGCUAGCGAUUCAGGUUCUCCUUCAGUUCUCCUAUUAUAUGAGUUUACCAUAUGAACAUGUCGACAAAUAUUCGGAUUUGGAAAACCUUGAACUUUGAGACGCAUGGAAGCAUUAUUAGAAAAGUAUUACAGCCUGAUCUAAAUUUAAGAAUCAUUAUGCUGUUUAUUAUGAAAAGGAUCACUUCCUAAACCUUUUUAUACAAAGCUCCAAUUAUGGUGAGAGUCAAAGUAUUAUUAUUAGUUGCUUUUAAAUGUCCUUCUGCCAUGGUUUUGGUCAGGUUGGGCUUACAAAAUAUUCUUAUUAUAUGUGAACUUGUGAUGGUGGCUUCGUA